rnacentral:rRNA from 2 species
GGGGGACGGAGAAGGCUAUGUUGGCCGGGCGACGGUUGUCCCGGUUUAAGCGUGUAGGUGUGUGUUCCAGGUAAAUCCGGUUCACUUUAACACUGAGGCGUGAUGACGAGGCACUACGGUGCUGAAGCAACAAAUGCCCUGCUUCCAGGAAAAGCCUCUAAGCAUCAGGUAACAUCAAAUCGUACCCCAAACCGACACAGGUGGUCAGGUAGAGAAUACCAAGGCGCUUGAGAGAACUCGGGUGAAGGAACUAGGCAAAAUGGUGCCGUAACUUCGGGAGAAGGCACGCUGACACGUAGGUGAAGUGAUUUACUCAUGGAGCUGAAGUCAGUCGAAGAUACCAGCUGGCUGCAACUGUUUAUUAAAAACACAGCACUGUGCAAACACGAAAGUGGACGUAUACGGUGUGACGCCUGCCCGGUGCCGGAAGGUUAAUUGAUGGGGUCAGCGCAAGCGAAGCUCCUGAUCGAAGCCCCGGUAAACGGCGGCCGUAACUAUAACGGUCCUAAGGUAGCGAAAUUCCUUGUCGGGUAAGUUCCGACCUGCACGAAUGGCGUAAUGAUGGCCAGGCUGUCUCCACCCGAGACUCAGUGAAAUUGAACUCGCUGUGAAGAUGCAGUGUACCCGCGGCAAGACGGAAAGACCCCGUGAACCUUUACUAUAGCUUGACACUGAACAUUGAGCCUUGAUGUGUAGGAUAGGUGGGAGGCUUUGAAGCGUGGACGCCAGUCUGCGUGGAGCCGACCUUGAAAUACCACCCUUUAAUGUUUGAUGUUCUAACGUGGACCCGUAAUCCGGGUUGCGGACAGUGUCUGGUGGGUAGUUUGACUGGGGCGGUCUCCUCCUAAAGAGUAACGGAGGAGCACGAAGGUUGGCUAAUCCUGGUCGGACAUCAGGAGGUUAGUGCAAUGGCAUAAGCCAGCUUGACUGCGAGCGUGACGGCGCGAGCAGGUGCGAAAGCAGGUCAUAGUGAUCCGGUGGUUCUGAAUGGAAGGGCCAUCGCUCAACGGAUAAAAGGUACUCCGGGGAUAACAGGCUGAUACCGCCCAAGAGUUCAUAUCGACGGCGGUGUUUGGCACCUCGAUGUCGGCUCAUCACAUCCUGGGGCUGAAGUAGGUCCCAAGGGUAUGGCUGUUCGCCAUUUAAAGUGGUACGCGAGCUGGGUUUAGAACGUCGUGAGACAGUUCGGUCCCUAUCUGCCGUGGGCGCUGGAGAACUGAGGGGGGCUGCUCCUAGUACGAGAGGACCGGAGUGGACGCAUCACUGGUGUUCGGGUUGUCAUGCCAAUGGCACUGCCCGGUAGCUAAAUGCGGAAGAGAUAAGUGCUGAAAGCAUCUAAGCACGAAACUUGCCCCGA